CAUCUCCAGCAGGGGUGGCCGCGCGCCUGAGAUCAUACCCUUAGAACCUGAUCCGGAUAAUACCGGCGAAGGGAGACCGCAUCAGCAUCCCA
rnacentral:ncRNA from 2 species